UUUGUGUGCAGGCGGAUCAAACCAUUUUGAGAUCCUCCAAAAUGUGGACUCAUCUGCCUGUGUCUACCUGAAAUGCAGCAUCCAGCAUUUUAAGUAGACCAUUCCAGACAAUCUUACGAGUCUCCAAGCUGACAGAGGCACGGAAACACGACCCACUGCCAUUCGUUCCGAGAACAGGACCCCAGGAAUGGCCAGAAUUCGUGUGCCUGCCAGUCAGAAGGCCCCAGCACAGAGGUCGUCGUCUUGCCCCGAUGGUGUACACGUGUCCGAGACCCAUCCCGCCAGAAAACGUCUAUUAAGGGCAACUGAGAAGUAGUCGGCUGGGCUGGCAGUGUGGUGGGCUACAUCAGGGACAUCAGCG